rnacentral:rRNA from 1 species
GGGCCUCUCGCGUCAGGAUAUGCCUAGGUGGGAUUAGCUAGUUGGUGAGGUAAUGGCUCACCAAGGCGACGAUCCCUAGCUGGUCUGAGAGGAUGAUCAGCCACACUGGAACUGAGACACGGUCCAGACUCCUACGGGAGGCAGCAGUGGGGAAUAUUGCACAAUGGGCGCAAGCCUGAUGCAGCCAUGCCGCGUGUGUGAAGAAGGCCUUCGGGUUGUAAAGCACUUUCAGUCGUGAGGAAGGUAGUGUAGUUAAUAGCUGCAUUAUUUGACGUUAGCGACAGAAGAAGCACCGGCUAACUCCGUGCCAGCAGCCGCGGUAAUACGGAGGGUGCGAGCGUUAAUCGGAAUUACUGGGCGUAAAGCGCAUGCAGGUGGUUUGUUAAGUCAGAUGUGAAAGCCCGGGGCUCAACCUCGGAAUAGCAUUUGAAACUGGCAGACUAGAGUACUGUAGAGGGGGGUAGAAUUUCAGGUGUAGCGGUGAAAUGCGUAGAGAUCUGAAGGAAUACCGGUGGCGAAGGCGGCCCCCUGGACAGAUACUGACACUCAGAUGCGAAAGCGUGGGGAGCAAACAGGAUUAGAUACCCUGGUAGUCCACGCCGUAAACGAUGUCUACUUGGAGGUUGUGGCCUUGAGCCGUGGCUUUCGGAGCUAACGCGUUAAGUAGACCGCCUGGGGAGUACGGUCGCAAGAUUAAAACUCAAAUGAAUUGACGGGGGCCCGCACAAGCGGUGGAGCAUGUGGUUUAAUUCGAUGCAACGCGAAGGAACCUUACCUACUCUUGAC